rnacentral:rRNA from 1 species
GGUUAAGCGACUAAGCGUACACGGUGGAUGCCCUGGCAGUCAGAGGCGAUGAAGGGCGUGCUAAUCUGCGAUAAGCGCCGGUAAGGUGAUAUGAACCGUUAUAACCGGCGAUACCCGAAUGGGGAAACCCAGUGUGACUCGUCACACUAUCAUUAACUGAAUCCAUAGGUUAAUGAGGCGAACCGGGGGAACUGAAACAUCUAAGUACCCCGAGGAAAAGAAAUCAACCGAGAUUCCCCCAGUAGCGGCGAGCGAACGGGGAGGAGCCCAGAGCCUGAAUCAGCAUGUGUGUUAGUGGAAGCGUCUGGAAAGGCGCGCGAUACAGGGUGACAGCCCCGUACACAAAAGCGCAUGUGCUGUGAGCUCGAUGAGUAGGGCGGGACACGUGGUAUCCUGUCUGAAUAUGGGGGGACCAUCCUCCAAGGCUAAAUACUCCUGACUGACCGAUAGUGAACCAGUACCGUGAGGGAAAGGCGAAAAGAACCCCGGCGAGGGGAGUGAAAAAGAACCUGAAACCGUGUACGUACAAGCAGUGGGAGCCCCACCACUAAGCCAGUGGUGAACUCCACAUACGCAUCCUUUGCUGAGGAUACGGUUAACGGAGCGAAAGCGACGUUCAACCUCAAAAGAAGCAGAGGGGGCUUAGUGGUGGGGUGACUGCGUACCUUUUGUAUAAUGGGUCAGCGACUUAUAUUCUGUAGCAAGGUUAACCGAAUAGGGGAGCCGGAGGGAAACCGAGUCUUAACCGGGCGUUAAGUUGCAGGGUAUAGACCCGAAACCCGGUGAUCUAGCCAUGGGCAGGUUGAAGGUUGGGUAACACUAACUGGAGGACCGAACCGACUAAUGUUGAAAAAUUAGCGGAUGACCUGUGGCUGGGGGUGAAAGGCCAAUCAAACCGGGAGAUAGCUGGUUCUCCCCGAAAGCUAUUUAGGUAGCGCCUCGUGAAUUCAUCUCCGGGGGUAGAGCACUGUUUCGGCUAGGGGGCCAUCCCGGCUUACCAACCCGAUGCAAACUGCGAAUACCGGAGAAUGUUAUCACGGGAGACACACGGCGGGUGCUAACGUCCGUCGUGAAGAGGGAAACAACCCAGACCGCCAGCUAAGGUCCCAAAGUCAUGGUUAAGUGGGAAACGAUGUGGGAAGGCCCAGACAGCCAGGAUGUUGGCUUAGAAGCAGCCAUCAUUUAAAGAAAGCGUAAUAGCUCACUGGUCGAGUCGGCCUGCGCGGAAGAUGUAACGGGGCUAAACCAUGCACCGAAGCUGCGGCAGCGACACUGUGUGUUGUUGGGUAGGGGAGCGUUCUGUAAGCCUGUGAAGGUGGCCUGUGAGGGUUGCUGGAGGUAUCAGAAGUGCGAAUGCUGACAUAAGUAACGAUAAAGCGGGUGAAAAGCCCGCUCGCCGGAAGACCAAGGGUUCCUGUCCAACGUUAAUCGGGGCAGGGUGAGUCGACCCCUAAGGCGAGGCCGAAAGGCGUAGUCGAUGGGAAACGGGUUAAUAUUCCCGUACUUGGUGUUACUGCGAAGGGGGGACGGAGAAGGCUAUGUUGGCCGGGCGACGGUUGUCCCGGUUUAAGCGUGUAGGUGUGUGUUCCAGGUAAAUCCGGUUCACUUUAACACUGAGGCGUGAUGACGAGGCACUACGGUGCUGAAGCAACAAAUGCCCUGCUUCCAGGAAAAGCCUCUAAGCAUCAGGUAACAUCAAAUCGUACCCCAAACCGACACAGGUGGUCAGGUAGAGAAUACCAAGGCGCUUGAGAGAACUCGGGUGAAGGAACUAGGCAAAAUGGUGCCGUAACUUCGGGAGAAGGCACGCUGACACGUAGGUGAAGUGAUUUACUCAUGGAGCUGAAGUCAGUCGAAGAUACCAGCUGGCUGCAACUGUUUAUUAAAAACACAGCACUGUGCAAACACGAAAGUGGACGUAUACGGUGUGACGCCUGCCCGGUGCCGGAAGGUUAAUUGAUGGGGUUAUCCGUAAGGAGAAGCUCCUGAUCGAAGCCCCGGUAAACGGCGGCCGUAACUAUAACGGUCCUAAGGUAGCGAAAUUCCUUGUCGGGUAAGUUCCGACCUGCACGAAUGGCGUAAUGAUGGCCAGGCUGUCUCCACCCGAGACUCAGUGAAAUUGAACUCGCUGUGAAGAUGCAGUGUACCCGCGGCAAGACGGAAAGACCCCGUGAACCUUUACUAUAGCUUGACACUGAACACUGGUCCUUGAUGUGCAGGAUAGGUGGGAGGCUUUGAAGCGCGGACGCCAGUUCGUGUGGAGCCAUCCUUGAAAUACCACCCUUUAAUGGCUGGUGUUCUAACGUAGACCCGUGAUCCGGGUUGCGGACAGUGUCUGGUGGGUAGUUUGACUGGGGCGGUCUCCUCCUAAAGAGUAACGGAGGAGCACGAAGGUUAGCUAAUCCUGGUCGGACAUCAGGAGGUUAGUGCAAAGGCAUAAGCUAGCUUGACUGCGAGCGUGACGGCGCGAGCAGGUGCGAAAGCAGGUCUUAGUGAUCCGGUGGUUCUGAAUGGAAGGGCCAUCGCUCAACGGAUAAAAGGUACUCCGGGGAUAACAGGCUGAUACCGCCCAAGAGUUCAUAUCGACGGCGGUGUUUGGCACCUCGAUGUCGGCUCAUCACAUCCUGGGGCUGAAGUAGGUCCCAAGGGUAUGGCUGUUCGCCAUUUAAAGUGGUACGCGAGCUGGGUUUAGAACGUCGUGAGACAGUUCGGUCCCUAUCUGCCGUGGGCGCUGGAGAACUGAGGGGGGCUGCUCCUAGUACGAGAGGACCGGAGUGGACGCAUCACUGGUGUUCGGGUUGUCAUGCCAAUGGCACUGCCCGGUAGCUAAAUGCGGAAGAGAUAAGUGCUGAAAGCAUCUAAGCACGAAACUUGCCCCGAGAUGAGUUCUCCCUGAGACUUAGAGUCUCCUGAAGGAACGUUGAAGACGACGACGUUGAUAGGCCGGGUGUGUAAGCGCAGCGAUGCGUUGAGCUAACCGGUACUAAUGAACCGUGAGGCUUAACCUU